rnacentral:rRNA from 1 species
AGGCGGGUGGUUUAGGUAAAUCCGGACCGCUACUAACGCUGAGAUACGAUGUCGAGCUACUACGGUAGUGAAGUCAUUGAUGCCAUGCUUCCAGGAAAAGCCUCUAAGCUUCAGAUUGUAAGGAAUCGUACCCCAAACCGACACAGGUGGUCGGGUAGAGAAUACCAAGGCGCUUGAGAGAACUCGGGUGAAGGAACUAGGCAAAAUGGUACCGUAACUUCGGGAGAAGGUACGCUCUUAUCAGUGAAGUCCCUUGCGGAUGGAGCAGACGAGAGUCGCAGAUACCAGGUGGCUGCAACUGUUUAUUAAAAACACAGCACUGUGCAAAAUCGUAAGAUGACGUAUACGGUGUGACGCCUGCCCGGUGCCGGAAGGUUAAUUGAUGGGGUUAGACUUCGGUCGAAGCUCUUGAUCGAAGCCCCGGUAAACGGCGGCCGUAACUAUAACGGUCCUAAGGUAGCGAAAUUCCUUGUCGGGUAAGUUCCGACCUGCACGAAUGGCGUAAUGAUGGCCACGCUGUCUCCACCCGAGACUCAGUGAAAUUGAAAUCGCUGUGAAGAUGCAGUGUACCCGCGGCUAGACGGAAAGACCCCGUGAACCUUUACUACAGCUUGGCACUGAACAUUGAACCUACAUGUGUAGGAUAGGUGGGAGACUUUGAAACCGCGUCGCUAGAUGUGGUGGAGUCGUCCUUGAAAUACCACCCUUGUAGUUUUGAUGUUCUAACGUUGGCCCCUGAAUCGGGGUUACGGACAGUGCCUGGUGGGUAGUUUGACUGGGGCGGUCUCCUCCCAAAGAGUAACGGAGGAGCACGAAGGUGGGCUAAACACGGUUGGACAUCGUGUGGUUAGUGCAAUGGCAUAAGCCCGCUUGACUGCGAGAAUGACAAUUCGAGCAGGUGCGAAAGCAGGUCAUAGUGAUCCGGUGGUUCUGAAUGGAAGGGCCAUCGCUCAACGGAUAAAAGGUACUCCGGGGAUAACAGGCUGAUACCGCCCAAGAGUUCAUAUCGACGGCGGUGUUUGGCACCUCGAUGUCGGCUCAUCACAUCCUGGGGCUGAAGUCGGUCCCAAGGGUAUGGCUGUUCGCCAUUUAAAGUGGUACGCGAGCUGGGUUUAGAACGUCGUGAGACAGUUCGGUCCCUAUCUGCCGUGGGCGUUGGAAAAUUGAAAGGGGCUGCUCCUAGUACGAGAGGACCGGAGUGGACGAACCUCUGGUGUUCGGGUUGUCAUGCCAAUGGCAUUGCCCGGUAGCUAAGUUCGGAAUCGAUAACCGCUGAAAGCAUCUAAGCGGGAAGCGAGCCUUGAGAUGAGUUUUCCCUGGCGCUUUAAGCGUCCUAAAGGGUUGUCGUAGACUACGACGUUGAUAGGCAGGGUGUGUAAGUGCUGCGAGGCAUUGAGCUAACCUGUACUAAUUGCCCGUGAGGCUUAACCAUACAACACCCAAGGGGUUU